AAUCAAAAUCAAAAUCAAAAUCAAGUGAACUAGCUUCUCACUAUUAAGUCUUUUAAUUGUAGAAAUUUUAAUGUGAAAAAGUGAUUUCAUCAAGUAGCUCUAGCUUUAUUAUAUCACAUAAAAUUUUGCACAUUAACAAAACAACCUCAUCAAUCGUCCAAGCAUAAACAAUCCUUCAUUUCAUAGCAGAGGUAAAGCAUGUUUACAUCACAAUAUUUUUUAAGUCCCACAUCGGUUGGAUAU
rnacentral:misc_RNA from 1 species